rnacentral:tRNA from 1 species
UCCCAGAUGGCUCAGAUGGUAAAGCAUCUGCCCGCAAUGCGGGAGACCCGGGUUCGAUCCCUGGGUUGGGAA